rnacentral:rRNA from 1 species
AGGACAAACGCUGGCGGCGUGUAUUAGGCAUGCAAGUCGCACGGACACUUCGGUGUCAGUGGCGGACGGGUGAGUAACACGUGGGUAACCUGCCCUACAGUGGGGAAUAACUCGCCGAAAGGCGAGCUAAUACCGCAUUCGACUUCCGGUGAGAAUCCGGAUAGUGAAAGCAGUAAUGCGCUGAAGGAGGGGCCCGCGGCCGAUUAGCUUGUUGGUGGGGUAAUAGCCUACCAAGGCGACGAUCGGUAGC